UAUAUAAAGAAAUCUUCNGANGGAAAUAUAUAUUUCUUAGCGGCGGACGGGUGAGUAACGCGUGAGGAACCUGCCUUGUACUAGGGGAUAGCCUCGGGAAACCGGGAUUAAUACCCUAUGAUACUUGAGGAUCGCAUGAUUUUCAAGUCAAAGCGAUUAAGCGGUAUAAGAUGGACUCGCGUCCCAUUAGCUAGUUGGUGAGGUAAUAGCUCACCAAGGCGACGAUGGGUAGCCGGCCUGAGAGGGUGAACGGCCACACUGGAACUGAGACACGGUCCAGACUCCUACGGGAGGCAGCAGUGGGGAAUAUUGCACAAUGGAGGGAACUCUGAUGCAGCGACGCCGCGUGAGCGAUGAAGGUUUUCGGAUCGUAAAGCUCUGUCCUAAGGGACGAUAAUGACGGUACCUUAGGAGGAAGCCCCGGCUAACUACGUGCCAGCAGCCGCGGUAAUACGUAGGGGGCGAGCGUUGUCCGGAUUUAUUGGGCGUAAAGGGUGCGUAGGCGGCCUUGUAAGUCAGAUGUGAAAUCUCACGGCUUAACCGUGGUAAGCAUUUGAAACUGUGAGGCUUGAGUACAGGAGAGGAGAGUGGAAUUCCUAGUGUAGCGGUGAAAUGCGUAGAUAUUAGGAGGAAUACCAGUGGCGAAGGCGACUCUCUGGACUGUAACUGACGCUGAGGCACGAAAGCGUGGGGAGCAAACAGGAUUAGAUACCCUGGUAGUCCACGCCGUAAACGAUGAGUGCUA
rnacentral:rRNA from 1 species